AUACGGAGGAUCCGAGCGUUAUCCGGAUUUAUUGGGUUUAAAGGGUGCGCAGGCGGCCAUUUAAGUCAGCGGUUAAAUCGUGGGGCUCAACCCCAUUCUGCCGUUGAUACUGGGUGGCUUGAGUACAGUUGAGGUAGGCGGAAUGUGGUGUGUAGCGGUGAAAUGCAUAGAUAUACCACAGAACGCCGAUUGCGAAGGCAGCUUACUAAGCUGUUACUGACGCUGAGGCACGAAAGCGUGGGGAUCAAACAGGAUUAGAUACCCUGGUAGUCCACGCUGUAAACGAUGAUUACUGGUUGUUAGCGAUAUAUAGCUAGUGACUGAGCGAAAGCAUUAAGUAAUCCACCUGGGGAGUACGUCGGCAACGAUGAAACUCAAAGGAAUUGACGGGG
rnacentral:rRNA from 1 species